AUUGAACGCUGGCGGCAUGCUUUACACAUGCAAGUCGAGCGGUAACAGGCCUUCGGGUGCUGACGAGUGGCGAACGGGUGAGUAAUGCAUCGGAACGUACCCAGAGGUGGGGGAUAACGCAGCGAAAGCUGUGCUAAUACCGCAUGUGAUCUGAGGAUGAAAGCGGGGGACCGAGCAGCAAUGUUUGGCCUCGCGCCUUUGGAGCGGCCGAUGUCGGAUUAGCUAGUUGGUGGGGUAAAGGCCUACCAAGGCGACGAUCCGUAGCUGGUCUGAGAGGACGACCAGCCACACUGGGACUGAGACACGGCCCAGACUCCUACGGGAGGCAGCAGUGGGGAAUUUUGGACAAUGGGCGCAAGCCUGAUCCAGCAAUGCCGCGUGCGGGAAGAAGGCCUUCGGGUUGUAAACCGCUUUUGGCAGGAACGAAACGGUGUCCGCUAAUACCGGGCGCUAAUGACGGUACCUGCAGAAUAAGCACCGGCUAACUACGUA
rnacentral:rRNA from 1 species